UAGGGAAUAUUAGUAAUGGGCGAAAGCCUGAACUAGCAACACCGCGUGUGCGAAGAAGGCCUUCGGGUUGUAAAGCACUUUUUGAGAGGAUGAGGAAGGACAGUACUCUCAGAAUAAGCCUCGGCUAACUACGUGCCAGCAGCCGCGGUAACACGUAGGAGGCAAGCGUUAUUCGGAUUUACUGGGCGUAAAGCGCGUGCAGGCGGUUCAAUAAGUUGGAUGUGAAAGCUCCUGGCUUAACUGGGAGAGGUCGUUCGAUACUAUUGGACUAGAGGAUGAGAGAGGGAGGUGGAAUUCCGAGUGUAGUGGUGGAAUGCGUAGAUAUUCGGAGGAACACCAGUGGCGAAGGCGGCCUCCUGGCUCAUACCUGACGCUCAGACGCGAAAGCUAGGGUAGCAAACG
rnacentral:rRNA from 1 species